rnacentral:rRNA from 1 species
UACGUAGGCAGCAAGCGUUGUUCGGAGUUACUGGGCGUAAAGGGUGUGUAGGCGGUUCCUUAAGUUUGCUGUGAAAUCUCCCGGCUUAACCGGGAGGGUGCGGUGAAUACUGAGGGACUAGAGUACGGGAGAGGAAAGUGGAAUUCCUGGUGUAGCGGUGAAAUGCGUAGAUAUCGAGAGGAACACCAGUGGCGAAGGCGAGUCCCUGGACAUCUCCUGACACUGAGGCACGAAAGCUAGGGGAGCAAACAGG